GAGUUUCAAACGAAUCAAUCUCGCGGUACUUGGUGCUCGUUUUAGGUUCCCUGGAGGGGCAGGAGCAGCGGCGGCCAGGAGGGUCCGCGGCUCAGCGCAGGGGGCCGAGGCCCGGAGGGCGGCCCCUCGCCGUCAGCGCUGCGACCGGGACGUCCACCUGCCGGCCCCCCGAGCCCCCGUGGGGUCCCCCGUGGGCCCCCGGGACCGCGGACAGCGCUGCCCGAGCCUCCCUGGCCGCCCGCCGGCCUCCCCGCGUCCCCAGGUUCCAUUCUGUUACAGGCCAUUGCAGAGUACUGUGUAGAGUUCCCUGUGCCAGACGGUUUCGUGGUGACCCAAGGAGGAAAGAGCAGAUGAAACCAAGGAGGGUCUUGGAAGCGGGACUGGAAAGACCAGACCCUGUUUUCCCUCCCUCCCCCAUGCUGUAACUGUUAUUGGAUCUCAGGGCCUCCUGACCUGCGGAACCUGUCUCCCCUCCUACCCCACAGGGAGAAGGCAUUUGCCUUACUCUUCCCCACCCAGUCUACGUGCCUCAUCCAAUCAGCAAACGACCUGCGAGGCCCCUGUCCCACUCCUUGUACCCUGGCUAUAGAAGCGGACUAAGGACCCCGAUCGACGUCGGUUCUCCCUUGAGCUGGCCCACUGUUCCAACAGGGUCUCCCACUCUAAAACUUGACUCCCUUCUUAUUCUGUCUCAUGUCUGGAAAUUCUUUUCCAACCUGCGCCCAGACCACAACAGGUUUGCCUGAGGGAGCAAUUCCAGCGGUUUGAAUUUUAUACUUGUCACUUUUUUUUCCCCUUGGUUUUAGGUCUUGUCUGAUUGAGUUAAUCAGGCUCAGUCUCAGAUCCUUGUGGCCUGUAUUUAUAUUUUGGUUUUAAGAUUUCCAAGAGAAAGUUGUUUGUAGUUCCCCAAAGAACUGGUCUGUCACCUGAAAGAUUUUAUCAGUGACAAGAUUUCUAAUUAGACUGAAAUUUAUUUUAUGAGUUUUAUGUUUUAUGAUUUUACAGUUUAUCAUAUCGUCAAAAGUUUGUAUGAGGCAUUUAGCAAAGACCUUUUCUCUGAGUUACAAAUUAAGCCCAAAGCAAUGUCAUUAUUUUUAUG
ensembl:lncRNA